rfam:Eubacterium sp. CAG:76 genomic scaffold, scf51
GCACAUAUAGCUCAGUUGGAUAGAGCGUUCGCCUCCGGAGCGAAAGGUCGUGGGUUCGACUCCCAUUGUGUGCA